rnacentral:lncRNA from 1 species
GGAUGCUGGCCAUACCACGAUUCACAUCUGAGGACCAACUGUUGUUUGUUCUUAACGCUGGAAGCCAUAGCAGCUAAGCCCCAGAGCAGAGAAAGAAAAUAAUAAUCGGAGCAGAAGAAAAACAAGAUUCAAGGCAGCUCCUGUCAAUCAAAACAAGGAUUGGGACAUCUUUCCAGGAAGGCAAGGAAUGCUGUAAGAGAGACCAGAGAGCAAACGAUAAGUAGAAGCAUUAAGAAUAUGUUUGACUACAGCUGGAGAGAUGGUUUCAGAGUUACAAGCACUUGCUGUUUUCAUAGAGGAUUUGGCUUCAUUUUCUGACCUCCAACAGGCACCAGACAUACAGCCAUGAGUCACCCACUCUUCCAAGAUGAUGCCACCAAAUGCCACAGCAACAGAGAAAACUAGCUGAAGUAAUCUGUUUGUCUUCAUAAGGCAAUUAUGUUGUGGACAUCUUAGAGUAAUUGGAAGGUGAC